AGCUGCAUCUGUGCCCAUAUCGGCAAUGAAGGAAGGCCAGUGCCAUCUACAAAUGGGGCCGCAGAAGCGGGGAAAGCUUUGAGGAUAACCCAAGUUGAUCUGAGGAAUGCGAGGGUAUAGAGAUGAGGAUGACUCGAUGGAUGCCUAAGGCAAGGAAGGGAAGACUGAAAAAGCUCCCAUACAAAGUGAGAUCCCAAAAGGGGGGG
rnacentral:lncRNA from 1 species